UACGUAGGGGGCAAGCGUUGUCCGGAAUCAUUGGGCGUAAAGCGCGUGUAGGCGGCCAGGUAAGUCCGUUCUGAAAGCCCGGGGCUCAACCCCGGGAGGCGGAUGGAUACUGCUUGGCUCGAGUCCGGAAGAGGCGAGUGGAAUUCCUGGUGUAGCGGUGAAAUGCGCAGAUAUCAGGAGGAACACCAAUGGCGAAGGCAGCUCGCUGGGACGGUACUGACGCUGAGGCGCGAAAGCGUGGGGAGCAAACAGG
rnacentral:rRNA from 1 species